GGUUUCGUGGUGUAGUUGUUUAUCACGUCAUUCUAACACAACUAAGGUUUCUGGUUCGAACCCGGUCAAAACCA
rfam:Arabidopsis thaliana chromosome 4, complete sequence.